UACGUAGGUGGCGAGCGUUGUCCGGAAUUACUGGGCGUAAAGCGCGCGUAGGCGGGAAUUUAAGUCAGGAGUGUAAACUGUGGGCUUAACCGACAGCUUGCUUCUGAAACUGGAUUUCUUGAGGGUAUGAGAGGGAAGCGGAAUUCCUAGUGUAGCGGUGAAAUGCGUAGAUAUUAGGAGGAACACCAGUGGCGAAGGCGGCUUCCUGGCAUACAACUGACGCUGAGGUGCGAAAGCGUGGGGAGCGAACGGGAUUAGAUACCCCGGUAGUCCACGCCGUAAACGAUGGGCACUAGGUGUAGGAGGUAUCGACCCCUUCUGUGCCGUAGUUAACACAAUAAGUGCCCCGCCUGGGGAGUACGGCCGCAAGGCUGAA
rnacentral:rRNA from 1 species